rnacentral:rRNA from 1 species
AUGUCGCAACAGACGUGCUCGUGUGCCGACCUCAAUUGCUUCCAUGGCGGUUGUGCUUGUUUCACAAAUGAAGGGGUCUGCUCUAAGGACUGCAAGUGCCGUGCUAAGUGCAAGAACAUCUUGGAUAAUGAAGAGACGGUCACAGAGAAAUUCGCUGAACACACCAAGAACAAAGCUCCUGCCGCUCAAACGCUUCCCUCGGGCUCUGUUGUGGCGGUCCUCGUGCCGGAUACCAGGGCUAAGCCAUUCCCAGCACGAAAACCAGGGUCUAUGCUACGGUGCAGCUGUCCCACCUCCCAGUGCGAAAACGGGAACUGCAGAUGUAACAGGGCUGGCUUGCCUUGUUGUGACCUCUGCAAGUGCAACGACUGCAGAAAUCGGGGGAAGCUCCAGGAUCUAUUCCCGGGCAGCGGGAUCAAGGAAGAGGUUCCUGCUUCAGGUCCGACCGUGACGACUCGUGGGAAGGCACAGGCUGUCAAGGAGUCUGCUGUUGGGUGUAAAUGCCAAACCGAAUGCGCCAGUCGCUGCGGUUGCGUGAGGCGUAAAAUCAAGUGCACCUCCAAAUGCAAGUGCCAAGUGUGCGGCAAUGACGACGGGAGCAGAUUUUCCAAUAUGUCCAAGGCUGGAGCAGGGGGUCAAGGUAGUACUCGCAGCAGCAGCAGCGCCGUCGAAUCGACAGGCAAACGGCCAAAACGCGUUUGA